GAGUUUGAUCAUGGCUCAGGAUUAACGCUAGCGGCAGGCCUAAUACAUGCAAGUCGAACGAGAUUCAGAAUAGCAAUAUUUUGAUGAAAGUGACGCACGGGUGCGUAACACGUAUGCAAUUUGCCUUUAACUGGGGGAUAGCCUUCCGAAAGGAAGAUUAAUACCGCAUAAUAUAUUUGAAAAGCAUUUUUUGAAUAUUAAACUUACGGGGGUUAAAGAUGAGCAUGCGUCCGAUUAGCUAGUUGGUGAGGUAACGGCUCACCAAGGCAACGAUCGGUAGGGGGUCUGAGAGGAUGAUCCCCCACACUGGUACUGAGACACGGACCAGACUCCUACGGGGGGCAGCAGUAAGGAAUAUUGGACAAUGGGCGCAAGCCUGAUCCAGCCAUGCCGCGUGAAGGAUUAAGGCCCUAUGGGUUGUAAACUUCUUUUAUACGGGACAAAACCCCUCUACGUGUAGAGGGUUGAUGGUACUGUAAGAAUAAGCAUCGGCUAACUUCGUGCCAGCAGCCGCGGUAAUACGAAGGAUGCAAGCGUUAUCCGGAAUUAUUGGGUUUAAAGGGUGCGUAGGCGGACCUAUAAGUCAGUGGUGAAAGCCCCAAGCUCAACUUGGGGAACUGCCAUUGAUACUGUUGGUCUUGAGUACAGUUGAGGUAGGCGGAAUGUGUCAUGUAGCGGUGAAAUGCUUAGAUAUGACACAGAACAUCGAUUGCGAAGGCAGCUUGCUAAGCUGUAACUGACGCUGAUGCACGAAAGCG
rnacentral:rRNA from 1 species